AUACGGAGGAUGCGAGCGUUAUCCGGAUUUAUUGGGUUUAAAGGGUGCGUAGGCUGUUUUUCAAGUCAGGGGUGAAAUGCCGGGGCUCAACUCCGGAACUGCCCUUGAUACUGGGAGGCUGGAAUACUGUUGCCGUGGGAGGAAUGAGUAGUGUAGCGGUGAAAUGCAUAGAUAUUACUCAGAACACCGAUUGCGAAGGCAUCUCACGAAGCAGUGAUUGACGCUGAGGCACGAAAGCGUGGGGAUCAAACAGGAUUAGAUACCCUGGUAGUCCACGCAGUAAACGAUGAUAACUAACCGUUGGCGAUAGACAGCCAGUGGCCAAGCGAAAGCGAUAAGUUAUCCACCUGGGGAGUACGACCGCAAGGUUGAAACUCAAAUGAAUUGGCGGGG
rnacentral:rRNA from 1 species